UACGUAGGGAGCAAGCGUUGUCCGGAAUCAUUGGGCGUAAAGCGCGCGUAGGCGGCCCUGUAAGUCCGCUGUGAAAGUCAAAGGCUCAACCUUUGAAAGCCGGUGGAUAUUGCAGGGCUAGAGUCCGGAAGAGGCGAGUGGAAUUCCUGGUGUAGCGGUGGAAUGCGCAGAUAUCAGGAGGAACACCAAUAGCGAAGGCAGCUCGCUGGGACGGUACUGACGCUAAGGCGCGAAAGCGUGGGGAGCGAACGAGG
rnacentral:rRNA from 1 species